rnacentral:sRNA from 14 species
UCACCCCUAAAUAUUUUAUGUUUCGUUCGAAAUCAAUCGCAUGGUUGUUAUAAACCAAAUGUAAGUCCUUGCAGUUAUGAGUGGAAAACAAAAUAGCUUUAGUCUUCGAGGGAUUAAUGGACAAUCUAUUAGACACCAUUAAAUUGUACAUCAUCCCCAUAAGAAAAGGGUGAACACCAGUCCCUCAAGUCGUCAAAUAAAUCGCUCAAAAUAUGAUCAACAAUAUUGGCCCAAGGACAGACCCUUGGGCACGCCACUCUUAACAAGGAGAACAUCUGAAACCACUCCAUUCACAUUAAUAUAUUGAUUUCCCUGACACAGGCGUUCAGCAACAGCCAAUGCAAAAGAAACGCAUUCACUCGUCCUUGGCGGAAAAAAACGCAUGUGAAUGGUACCAACACAAUUGCUGACACAGCCUCGGCAGAAAUGUAAACAAAAGCUCGGCGCCCAAUCACAAUUCAACCAGAAAGUUUUGCCAAUUGCAGUUCACGUGGACAAAUUCAGCUGACGUUCGCUUGUUUCAACUUACAAUUUAUAGUUGUUAGUUAUAGUAUGAAUUAGUAAAGUAAAACUGAUUGACUACACUUUAUUUUUCAAAUUAUAAUUCUUUUUUA